rnacentral:rRNA from 1 species
UACGUAGGGGGCGAGCGUUGUCCGGAAUUAUUGGGCGUAAAGGGCGUGUAGGCGGUUCGGUAAGUCUGCUGUGAAAUCUUGGGGCUCAACCCUGAGCGUGCAGCGGAUACUGCCGGGCUAGAGGGUGGUAGAGGCGGGUGGAAUUUCGAGUGUAGCGGUGAAAUGCACAGAUAUGCGGUGGAACACCAGUAGCGAAGGCGGCUCGCUGGGCCUCUCCUGACGCUGAGACGCGAAAGCGUGGGGAGCGAACAGG